rnacentral:rRNA from 1 species
AGGUAAUAGAUACCCCGGUAGUCCACGCCGUAAACGAUGAUGACUAGCUGUCGGGGCUCAUGGAGUUUCGGUGGCGCAGCUAACGCGUUAAGUCAUCCGCCUGGGGAGUACGGCCGCAAGGUUAAAACUCAAAGAAAUUGACGGGGGCCUGCACAAGCGGUGGAGCAUGUGGUUUAAUUCGAAGCAACGCGCAGAACCUUACCAGCGUUUGACAUGGUAGGACGGUUUCUGGAGACAGAUUCCUUCCCUUACGGGACCUACACACAGGUGCUGCAUGGCUGUCGUCAAACUCGUGUCGUGAGAUGUUGGGUUAAGUCCCGCAACGAGCGCAACCCUCGUCUUUAGUUGCCACCAUUAGUUGGGUCGACUCUAAAGAAACCUAGCCGGUGAUAAGCCGGACGGAAGGUGGGGUAGUGACGUCAAGUCCUCAUGGCCCGUUACCGCGCUGGGCGUACACACGUGCUACAAUGGCGGUGACAAAGGGACGAGCAAACUACGCGAGAGUGAGCAAAUCCC